rnacentral:rRNA from 1 species
UACGUAGGGUGCGAGCGUUAAUCGGAAUUACUGGGCGUAAAGCGUGCGCAGGCGGUCUGUUAAGUCAGAUGUGAAAUCCCCGGGCUUAACCUGGGAACUGCAUUUGUGACUGGCAGGCUAGAGUAUGGGAGAAGGAGGUAGAAUUCCACGUGUAGCAGUGAAAUGCGUAGAGAUGUGGAGGAAUACCGAUGGCGAAGGCAGCCCCCUGGGCCAAUACUGACGCUCAUGCACGAAAGCGUGGGGAGCAAACAGG